rnacentral:rRNA from 1 species
AUGGCAACGAUGUCUAGGGGGUCUAAAAGGAUGGUCCCCCACACUGGUACUGAGACACGGACCAGACUCCUACGGGAGGCAGCAGUGAGGAAUAUUGGUCAAUGGGUGAGAGCCUGAACCAGCCAUGCCGCGUGCAGGAAGACGGCCCUACGGGUUGUAAACUGCUUUUGUAUAGGAAGAAACAAACCUACGUGUAGGUAACUGACGGUACUAUACGAAUAAGCACCGGCUAACUCCGUGCCAGCAGCCGCGGCAAUACGGAGGGUGCAAGCGUUAUCCGGAUUUAUUAGGUUUAAAGGGUGUGUAGGCGGACUUUUAAGUCAGUGGUGAAAUCCCGGGGCUCAACUCCGGAACUGCCAUUGAUACUGGAAGUCUUGAGUACAGUUGAAGUAGGCGGAAUGUGUAAUGUAGCGGUGAAAUGCUUAGAUAUUACACAGAACACCGAUUGCGAAGGCAGCUUACUAAGCUGUUACUGACGCUGAUGCACGAAAGCGUGGGGAGCGAACAGGAUUAGAUACCCUGGUAGUCCACGCCGUAAACGAUGAUUACUCGUUGUUGGCGAUAUAUUGUCAGCGACUGAGCGAAAGCAUUAAGUAAUCCACCUGGGGAGUACGUUGGCAACAAUGAAACUCAAAGGAAUUGACGGGGGCCCGCACAAGCGGAGGAACAUGUGGUUUAAUUCGAUGAUACGCGAGGAACCUUACCUGGGCUUAAAUGCAGUAUGACCGUAGCCGAAAGGUUAUUUCCCUUCGGGGCAAAUUGCAAGGUGCUGCAUGGCUGUCGUCAGCUCGUGCCGUGAGGUGUCGGGUUAAGUCCCAUAACGAGCGCAACCCCUAUCGUUAGUUGCCAGCGGGUAACGCCGGGAACUCUAGCGAGACUGCCACCGUAAGGUGAGAGGAAGGUGGGGAUGACGUCAAGUCAGCACGGCCCUUAUGUCCAGGGCUACACACGUGUUACAAUGGUCGGUACAAAGGGCAGCUACCUGGUGACAGGAUGCAAAUCUCUAAAACCGAUCCCAGUUCGGAUCGAAGUCUGCAACUCGACUUCGUGAAGUUGGAUUCGCUAGUAAUCGUAUAUCAGCAACGAUACGGUGAAUACGUUCCCGGGCCUUGUACACACCGCCCGUCAAGCCAUGGAAGCCGGGGGUACCUGAAGUCCGUAACCGCAAGGAGCGGCCUAGGGUAAAACUGGUAACUGGGGCUAAGUCGUAACAAGGUA